rnacentral:lncRNA from 1 species
ACAGUGAAUACAAUAAAAUACAUGGAAUACAGCGAGAUACAUUUGAAUACAAUGGAAAAAAAAAAGAUAAUGAAUACAAUGAAAUACAGCGAGAUACAUUGAAAUACACUUAAAAAGGUAACAAAAUCUUCAAUUUGCUCAGCCCCAAACUCCGUCAUCUUUGUUCAAGAAGAAACCUAAUGUCGUCUCGUCGAGAGCGCCGCGAUUCUUACUCGAAGCGUCAUUGUUCCCGUUUCGAUCAAGAACCCAGUCCAAAGAGAUCUAGGAAGCACAAUAGACCAGUCGAACUUUCCUCUUCUUCUUUGUCUCCUCCGCUACUCAAUUUGCAACAAACAACCAUAGACCUCAUUCUAUUACAACUUCUAGGUAUCGGGAAUUGAGGAAAUAGUGAUUUUGGCUUGGCGUGAGAAGAAAGAACGGAGAUUCGCCGUUUAUGGUGGUGGUGGCGAAGAUGCUUUCCAGGAGGAAGAACGAUCGACGGAUGAACUGAUAAGAGAGAAUCCAUGAGUUUUAUGGCUUUGAAAGAGGGAGGGUGGAGAAAAAUCUGAAAGAAUGAGAGAAAAAAAUAAUACAAAGCGUAUUUUAUGGCUUAAGAAUAGGAGGUGAUCAUAAAUAGAUAUUUGGCUAUAAAAAUCAAAAGGUAGCUAUGGAAUAUAAUUCUUUAAAAGGGUAUUUAUUUAAAAUAAAUUAGGUAUCAACCUUUGUUAUAGGAGGUAAAAAUUCCAUAACUAAAUGCGGAACUUAGCCACUGGCCCACUGUAUUUCACAAUAAAGUGAUCGUAAGGCCCUAGCCCAAGCAAUAUGAGUUACAGAAAAUUAAGCUUAAUAAACUUAAAAAUAAAUGAUGUUGAUUUAUUGGCUCCCGCUUGGUUCAUGGGUAAAUUUUUAAAGUUAAAAGUCAAAAGAACUACUCAUAAUAAAAUAAAUAAUGAACAAUAUUUAUUAAACUUGAAGUUAUGUCAAAAAUAACUUUUAGUGACAGCGAAGUAUCUUAUUUGUGCAUUAGGCAUUUGGACAGCCCAAUACUAGUCCAGUGGAGUCGCUGAGUUCUCACCUGAACCAAAUAAACCCAGAUGAGAGUUACGUGAAGCCUUCGGAAUUUUAUUUCAUUUCUUGGAUGUAACGCCUUCAAUUUGGCAGGUAAAGUCUGUGAAUUGGAUAAGAACGAU